UCCACUAUUUUUUCUAUUAUUUUUGCGUCUUCCAUUCUUCGUUCCUCUCUUUUGGAAUCGGUUGAUAAAAUCAAAUCGGAACAAUUAUGUUCACUCCAGAUUUUUCUCUGAUUCACAUAUUUUCCUCGAAUGAUCGGUUGAGAGAGAGAGAGAGAGAGAGAGAGAGAGGAUGGUUUCAGAGACUUGGUUUCGUAAUCUGUGGAGGUUUCAAAAAAAACAUGAUGGUGAUAAAGAUAAGGCGGUGCUCGAGGUAUUAGCGUUU